rnacentral:rRNA from 1 species
GGAAGUAAAAGUCGUAACAAGGUCUCCGUUGGUGAACCAGCGGAGGGAUCAUUGCUGGAACGCGCCCCUGGCGCACCCAGAAACCCUUUGUGAACUUAUACCUUACUGUUGCCUCGGCGCAGGCCGUCCCCUGAUGGGGUCCCUCUGGAGACAGAGGAGCAGCCGGCCGGUGGCCAAAUUAACUCUGUUUUUACACUGAAACUCUGAGUACAAAACAUAAAUGAAUCAAAACUUUCAACAACGGAUCUCUUGGUUCUGGCAUCGAUGAAGAACGCAGCGAAAUGCGAUAAGUAAUGUGAAUUGCAGAAUUCAGUGAAUCAUCGAAUCUUUGAACGCACAUUGCGCCCUCUGGUAUUCCGGAGGGCAUGCCUGUUCGAGCGUCAUUUCAACCCUCAAGCCUGGCUUGGUGUUGGGGCACUGCUCUCUGACGAGAGCAGGCCCUGAAAUAUAGUGGCGAGCUCGCCAGGACUCCGAGCGUAGUAGUUAAACCCUCGCUUUGGAAGGCCUGGCGGUGCCCUGCCGUUAAACCCCAACUUCUGAAAAUUUGACCUCGGAUCAGGUAGGAAUACCCGCUGAACUUAAGCAUAUCAAUAAGCGGAGGA